rnacentral:rRNA from 1 species
AACGAACGCUGGCGGCAUGCCUAAUACAUGCAAGUCGUACGAGAUCGUUGCACCUAGUUCUGCACGGAUGCGGAACGCGUGGGAAUCUACCCUGCGGUUCGCAAGAACAUCGGGAAACUUAUGCUAAUACCGGAUGCUGACGGAAGUCCAAAGAUUUAUCGCCUGAGGAUGAGCCCGCGUAGGGUUAGCUAGUUGGUAUGGUAACGGCUUACCAAGGUGACAAUCCUUAGCUGGUCUGAGAGGAUGAUCAGCCACACUGGGACUGAGACGCGGCCCAGACUCCUACGGGCGGCAGAAGUAGGGAAUAUUGGACAAUGGGGGCAACCCUGAUCCAGCAAUGCUGCGUGAGUGUUGAAGGCCUUAGGGUUGUAAAUCUCUUUUACCCGGGAUGAUAAUGACAGUACCGGGUGAAUAAGCCCCGGCUAACUCCGUGCCAGCAGCCGCCGUAA